rnacentral:rRNA from 1 species
GGAAAGGAAAUCAACCGAGACUCCGUAAGUAGCGGCGAGCGAAAGCGGAUGAGGCGAAGUGAACACGUUGGAAUGCGUGGCCGAAGAAGGUGAAAGCCCUGUAGUGAGCCGUUUAGCCAUAGAGUAGCGUCGGGCUCGUGAAACCCGGCGUGAACAUGGGGGGUCCACCCUCCAAGGCUAAGUACUCCUCGACGACCGAUAGUGGACCAGUAAGGUGACUGAACGAUGAAAAGCACCCCUAUGAGGGGAGUGAAAUAGCACCUGAAACCGUGCGCUUACAAGCGGUGGGAGCCCUUCGGGGUGACCGCGUGCUUUUUGCAUAAUGAGCUCGGGAGUUAGCCUCUGUGGCGAGCCUAAGGCCUAACGGGCCGGAGGCGGAGCGAAAGCGAGUCUGAAUAGGGC